rnacentral:rRNA from 1 species
UACGUAGGGUGCGAGCGUUGUCCGGAAUUAUUGGGCGUAAAGGGCUCGUAGGCGGUUUGUCGCGUCGGGAGUGAAAACACCGGGCUUAACUCGGUGCUUGCUUUCGAUACGGGCAGACUAGAGGUAUGCAGGGGAGAACGGAAUUCCUGGUGUAGCGGUAAAAUGCGCAGAUAUCAGGAGGAACACCGGUGGCGAAGGCGGUUCUCUGGGCAUUACCUGACGCUGAGGAGCGAAAGUGUGGGGAGCGAACAGG